AGGGAACCACCUUUCCCGUCCCUUCCGGCUCGAAUCUGUGACGCCUCAUUACUAUCACAGUCUUUUCCCAAACACCGACCUUCAGCGUGGACCCUGAAGCAGUGGCCUAUUAGCAACGUGCCAUCUAGCAAACAUUUAUCUUGGAACAGUAAACUCUUGGCCAGCCGCCUUCCGGAUCGCGUGACCACGUGGUCAUCUGUGCCAGCAGCGUCUGGGCUCCGUGUCCUGCGGGUCCUGGGACGGCUGGGUCUCUGCUGUUUUCUCCAGCUCCCUCCACCUAACCAGCAUCUAUCUCUCUUAAUCUUGUCAGCGCUCUGUAGGAGAGUCCUUCAGCAGAGAUGACAGAGGCGAAUCCGAUGUUGUGACCUGCAAAUUCCUGUGAACCUCGGAACACUUUAUGGGGUCAUUAGAACCAGCUAACAGCCUUACCUGCUGUUUGAACGGGUAGAGCCUCUGGGGGGACAGAAAACAAAAGAAGGGUGUUGAAAUGCAAAUAGACCUCUCUGGGUUCCAAAUAAAGCCAGAGCUGACAUCGGAGUCCCCACCGAGGUCUGUGGAAAGGCUUUAGAAAAAUCUCACCUGGUGUAUUUCUUUUCACGCACUGGAGUCCCAAGAUAAUCCGUACAAAACAUCCAUUCAUUCUACAAGUGAAAAUUUCAGGAGUACUCGAUACUGACCUUGGCAAGACUAAUGGACCAAGAUUGAGUGAUGGAUUUGUGUGUGUCGUGGCUGACGUGCAUUUUGGUGCUAUUGUUACCCCUCAUUGACACAUAGAUGAUUAUUUUUUAAGGGAAAUAAAAUAAGGAGGACUUACCCUGUGACAGCCUAGCGAAAAGAAUACGCUGUAUCAGAGUUUUAAUUGCUACAUUAAAUAUGCGUUCUUAUCUGAUUUCUGCUAUGAACUAGCUGUACGACUUUGGGUAAGUCAUUUAGCUCAUUUUUUUGUAAUUUAUAACACUGAAAUGACAACCAUGUGAUAGUGAAAAAAAAUUUGUAAAAGUGUUUUAAAGUCCCAUGAGAAAGGCCCAGUCAGAAACCACUGCUGGGUUGGUUUUUUAACUGAAAACAUCUGUCGAGAUUUGCAAAUAGUAAGUACUAUAUAUAAAGUAGAUAAACAACAAGUUCAUACUGUAGCGCACAGAGAACGCUAUGCAAUACCUUGUAGUCACCUGUUAGGAAAAAGGUGUGAAAACAAAUACAUGUCCGUACAUGUAGGACUGAAACAUGAUGCUGGACACCAGAAACUGGCCCAACAUUAUAAACUGACUAGACUUCAAUUAAAAAAAAAAAAGAAAGAAAUUAAGAAUGAAAAUUAAAAAACAAAAAAAAAGAAAACAUCCCAUCUUAGUGAACCUAAGUUUUAGUACGUUAGUUUGUUUUUUUAAGCUGUCAUUUUUUUCAGGUGCUUCUGAACUCUUCAAUUUGUUCAUGGAAAGAAAUGCCGUUAAUAUAGGGUGGCUACGUAGCAACGUUUUCUGGUAAAAUAAUCUCUUAAGUCCUGACACACAGUCGCUAACUGUUGGCUUUGUAAGGUCAGGACCUGCAGACCGGCCCGCUGGCUGUCAGCAGUUCAAACACAGGACGGCACCAACCCGAAUAAACACACAGCCCAGCAGAGCCUGCACAGUGCCGCCGGGCCUGGAUGCGGCUGCGUCGGAGCAGAGGCCCCGCGGCCACGCUGCGGGGGGCGGGGGCGCGGGGUGCCGGCGCGGGGUAGCCACGCCUUAGCAGAAGGCAAAGGUCAGGGGGCGGGACCCGCGCGCGCAGACGGUCUCAAACGGCCGAAGCCGCUAACCUGCGGGCCAGCCUCCCCUGCUGACUGCGGCGGCUGCUCGGGGAGAAAGCUGGCGUUCCGGCCCCGGGCCUCCAGGAAGCGCGGCGGCGCGGAGGUGCGCGUGCCGCGGGGGCGAGCGGAAGCCGGGCUGCAGGGCCGGAGGCGCCCUGCCCCGUGUCCCACCGUCUCGUGUUUCCCUCUUCGCAGAAGAGCUGAGGCUGUUGACUUUUUCAGGGGUUGCAAAGCACGUUGGAGAGAGGAGAAAGGCGCCGUGCGAACGUGUCAGCGUGAAACGCCAGCGGAGGCACACUUUAAUGAAGACAAACGCAUUCUUCUCCGGAUAAUCGGAAGCUUGUGCAAGAGUAGGGGGUUUGAUUUCAGACUGAGUGUUAGGUUUGCCAAGUUUCAUUUGAGCAGGGUGAAUCUGGGUUGUUGUUUGCCCUAUUACUCUACCUCGCUCACUGAGAGGAAACUGUUAACCAAGUUGCCUUACUAGAGUGUAGACAGGUUAAUUGAUGAUCAGAGAUCAGACCCCCAGCUUUUCAGAAGUGUGCGUUACAGUUUAGUAACUUGACUUUCCAAGAGGGAGGCUAACCUGGGUUGAGUACAGGGCACCGUCCCUGGGUUUCUAUGGGUGCUGUAAACAGACCCAGCAAUACAGUGAAUUCUCUGCAGGUUUUUCAAAAGUGCGUGUGUUUUGAGGAAAUGGAGGCACCCGUUUUAUUCCUCACUUUCCCAGGACAGCUUACCAGUACCAGCUUGAGAUUUUGAAUUCUGACUUCUUGGUGGACAUCACUUGGCUCUCUCACUAAUAACGUAAAGCUUUCUAAUAUGGAAUUCAAUUUUUUUUUUGGUCCUUUUAAUCGUACAGCCAGCCUCUCACCAUUAAAAACCAGAAAAAAGUAUCAUUUUAAACCCCCAUUCUUUCAGCCUUCUUUCUACUCUCCAGCUGGUCCUGAAAUCCUUUCGGUUUUUCACUCUGUGUCUAGCAUCUCUCUUCUGAUUCCCACUAAACACUACCAUAUUCCCAUCACUCAACGUUACCAACUGUUAGCAUUUUUGUCAUGUCUGUCUUGGGGUUUUUAAUGAAAGGAAACAUUGGAGAUAAAGUCAAGCUCCCUGUGAACACCAAUUCCAUCCCCUCCCCCUGUCCUCACCUCACAGAGCCCACGUUCAGUUUGACAUGUGCUUUCAAAGUAUUUUAUAUAUGAUUACGUGUACUCGUAAUUAAUACGUGGUAUUGUUUCAGGAGCGCAUACACCUAUAGAUGGAUUCGCAUGUAUCUUCCUCUAUGUUUGCUCACUUCCACUGAACGGUGUUUUUGAGACUGAUCUGGGCAUACGUAUACACACAUCCUCGUUUUUAAUUGCUCUCUGAUAUUUCAUGGUAUGAAUAAUACCGCAUUUUAUUCAUCAGUCCAUCAGUGGAUGGGUAGAUUGUUACAUUUUUCACUGAUACAGAUUAUGCUGUGUCACUUUCCCCGGGGUUGCACGUGGGCAGUAUUUCCUUCGGCUGGAUAUCUAGACGCAGAAUCUACAUUGUGAAUAUGCCCAAUCUUGCUUUUAAGAGACGGCGCCAAAUUGAUUUUCAGCUGUUUGAAAGCUGUUUCCCCAAAUACUCUGCAAUGCUUGCUGACUUAUUUUUAUUUGUUAAAAAAAAAAUUCUUUUUUCUUGUGAUGAGAACUUCUAGAUCUGCUCUCGGCAUCUGAGGGACGUGCAGCGUGGUGUCGGUGACGGAGCUGUCUCUGUGCUGCGCGCGGCACCCUCGGCUGAUGCCGGGCGGCUGCUGGCUUAGGGCGACGCAGCUUCUCUCGGGGUUUCUAGCCUCACUUGGGUCUGUUCUGCUCACUGGGCGUCCCGGUCAGACUGUCCCCCAGAAUCCUCCUGGCCCAGGGGCAGCCCGGCUGCCUCUCACCAGAGUGAGCCACAACGCAUGUCCUCAGGCUCAGCUCUUACUUUUCUGUCCCUGCAACUUGAUCAUGCUCUUCUGCGUUACUUUAUUGAUUCAACAAAUAUUUAUUGAGUUCUUUGCUUCCUGCCAGGUGCUGGGAAUAAAGGGCCAAACAAGAAAGACAGCAUCUUGGCCCUCGUGGAGCAGAGGGUGGGGAUGGCAGGAAAGAAACCAGUGAAAAAAUGAACACGACGAUUUUUCAUAGUUUUAAGGACUAGGAAGAAAGCAAAAUGGAACGUCAGUGUGACUUUGUAUGGUGGGUGUGUGUCAGGGGGACGUGUUGAGGGGUGCAGGAGAGUGGAUUCAUCCAGGUGGAGCCUUAGCGGGGCAGGUGCUCGGGGAAGGCUUCGCAGAGGAGGUCCUGUUCCUCCUGAGACUUCAGCGUGAGGCCGGUUCACAGGGCUGGCCUGGGUGCCCUGAAGACCAGGGCUGCCCCUGUGGCGGGGCGGCUGGGUCAGGAGAGUGGCGGACGCCCGAGGAGACUCAGACAGGCAGCGGCCUGCCGCCUGGGGCCCCUUCCACUGCCCUGUGCCCUUUGAAGCCUUGGUGCAGUCCUCUCGGCAUGGCCUCCCCGAGCCUGCCAGCUGGCAGGCCUCUGCACAUCCCCAGCGCGGGGCCGCUGUCUUUGUGAGGUGCUUUCACAUCUUGGUGUCUGUCUGCCCAAGAACUAAUUCAUUUUCAUUUUGCUGUUUUGUUUCUACCUCGUAAGGGACAGUACUCUUGUCUGGAACGAGGCGGGCAGAGGGAGAAAGGGACGAUGCAGAAGGAGCCUGUCCUUUCUGGCCGAGUCCCUUGGUAAUGAACUGCCUUCCAGUGAAGUAAACCUUUAGUGCGUCCAAGCUAAUUCUCAGAGUGGCAAAUAUAAUACAUGUAAUUUUCCUUAAUAAUUGGUAAGACUGGUUGUAGUUCUCAGCGACGUUUCUCACCCCACCCAGGUUUUUUCUUAGAAUAAGAAUCUGUUAUUGAUGGUUAUUAAGUCUUCAUAGUUGUGAACCGCCUUGUUUUCGAUGCUGUGUCUGCUCUGAGCUCUAGCUUUUCACGAGGCAGUGACAGUGCGUUACCUGCGGGGGGACCUCUCUCAGGCAUCACCAGCCGCGAAGGGAGCGUUGCACGUGGAGCCUGAGAUAUUUCACGAGAGUUAUGUCCCUCUGUCUUCAGAAUGAUCUUCGAGCCGUGGCUCAGGUGUGCCCUACAGAUAAAGAACCUGCGUUUCAGAGCAGCCAUUUCUUGUCCCCAGGUUACAGAAUUAGUGAACAAGACACUGGGAACUGAACCCAGGACCUCGUGCAUGCUAAGCAUGUGCUCUGCCGCUGAGCUCUACCCUCCCCCCACAACGCCCUCCUCGCACAAGUGGACGCGUUUCUGAAUGAGAAGAGCGGAUGGCAGGUCCAAUAGCCCAGCCUGCGCUCCUGGAGACAGGAGGGAACAAAGCCCAGGAGGAUCUCAUGAGACGGUUCCUUGUUCCCUCUCUCCGCCCCGUGGAGAGGCCAGGAAGGUCCUUCCAAAGCAGGGAGCUGUUGGCGCUCCCUGUAUCUGCCCAGAGGCUGGCCCCCUGCCCAACAUGACCAGCUCAUGAAGAGCACCCCAGGCCAGAGAGUCCUGAAGAUUUGAACGGAUCCAGACCUCAUGUCAGUAUUUGCAAGAGGAGAGAAAGGCGUCUACCCUCAAAACCUGAGGUCUGCAGUUCACAGGCGCUGAGUCACCUCGUCUCCGCAGGGCCACACGUUUUGCACCUGGGAAAAGGGCUGCAGAAGAUCAGACUGCGAGCUGGUGUGUCACUAAUUUAAAUACAAGUGAAAAAACUGAGGCUCAGUGAGGAGAAGAAAUUUGCCCAAGGUAACGCAGCUGUAAAGCCGAGAGCCUGGAAUUUGACUGCAGGUGGCUUGAUCCGAGCUCGUUUCCAUGGAGACAGGCCGAGCCUGUUGGUAUUCCGUGACCCAAAAGCCACGUGGGUAGAAAACGUGGGUCCUUUUUUUGUAAGGGCAGUUUUGGCCACUCCCUCAGGUACAUGCUGAAGAGAAAAUUGUUAUCCCAGGCUGACCAUUUUCCAUCAAAGGGACUUGAAAGUCCUAACAGGCCAGAAACUGAAUGAAAGACAGGAAGACGUGGGUGCGGGGAUGUCGUUUCUUGGCAAAAUUAAAACAUCUGGGCAGCCCAGGAUGUGUCUCGACUCAACCGUGAUUGUCCAGAAUAUCAGGACCAUAAAUUGAGCAGAACCGACCAGCCCGGCAGCGCCCGAGAUGUCUGCGGAAUGUUAAUCACGUUUCCAGAAAAAGGGAGUGGUCAGAUAAGAACGGGGAAUGUGGAGUCCGAGGGAGGCGGCAGGAUUCUUGAUUGAGCUGUCUGAGGCCCUGGGGCAGGGAUGGGGGAGGAUGUGCCCGCGGUGACCAGCCGCCGCCACGCAGGCGACCCCGCAGGGGCAGGUGUCCCUGGGUGGCACUGCCUCUGGCCUCGCCGUUUCCAUUUUAGCUUAGAAAGUCCCAGACACCUGAGCCGCUACAGAAAAGUCUGCGCCUGCCGGUUCUGCUGUUUCUCGGCUGGGAAGGGGUGCGGGUGGCAUCAUGCUUCUAGGCUCUUUGAACACUUUGUGAGGAAGGUUUUGUAGAAAUGAAUCACCUUACAUGAAAUAAUAACACAAAAUUAGAUAGGAGUUUCUGAGAGCCCGAAGUUUCAGUCCCACUGGGGUCUCAGUAAAAAUCAAAGUAGAUUGGGGCCAUGUGACCCUUUUCCAAGUGUUAACGUUUUCUGUGUUUUCAUUGGUCCAGUCCUUCACAUAGUGUUUAUUAGGGCCCCAGAAUAUGAAACAUGCUUAGUUUUAAGUGAUACAUGCAAAUGUGCCUUUGUGUGACCCGAUGUGGGAACUGCAACCCUUGGGCUCUGUCUGGCAAACUCAAAAAAAAAAAAAAAAAGGGAAUAAGAGGAAUUUACUCAGAGUUUUCAGGAAACAAGGUGUCAUUGUUGAGAUGGUUUCCUGUCAUAAAAAAUUCUCUAAUUUGGUUUUAAAAUAGCAGCCUUAGAUGUUGUUUGUGACUCAGUAAUCUAUAGGAAAUCUAAAACUGUUUCUUUUUUUCCCCUUUUUUAUGUGUGUGUUUGUGAAAAGAUUUUCCAUAUUUUCCAAAGACAAGAAAUGAGCUGUUUCUAUUCCUGGUGGGGAGCAAUGUGACCAUGUUUGUAUUUACUGCCUGCACAUGUGCAGACACCCUGGCGUUAAAAGUAGCGAAACUCUGUGUUGGUUUUGGUGACGUGUUACACAGAAACCAUCCUUCUGCUCUGGUUUCUGCGAGUCCCAGUCCUGAGAGCUGCUCAGCCCAGCCGCCUUAAAGUUACAAUCUGUGACCCUCAAAUGGUUUUUAACCUGAAGCUUCUCUGGCGUGGACCUCAUGACAAGUUUGUACUUUUUUUUUCCACUUAAAAACAGAGCUGGGUGG